rnacentral:rRNA from 1 species
AUUGAACGCUGGCGGCAUGCCUUACACAUGCAAGUCGAACGGCAGCACGGGAGCUUGCUCCUGGUGGCGAGUGGCGAACGGGUGAGUAAUACAUCGGAACGUACCCUGAAGUGGGGGAUAACGUAGCGAAAGUUACGCUAAUACCGCACAUUCUGUGAGCAGGAAAGAGGGGGAUCGCAAGACCUCUUGCUUUAGGAGCGGCCGAUGUCGGAUUAGCUAGUUGGUGAGGUAAAGGCUCACCAAGGCGACGAUCCGUAGCGGGUCUGAGAGGAUGAUCCGCCACACUGGGACUGAGACACGGCCCAGACUCCUACGGGAGGCAGCAGUGGGGAAUUUUGGACAAUGGGCGCAAGCCUGAUCCAGCCAUGCCGCGUGAGUGAAGAAGGCCUCGG